UAGACCGCCUGGGGAGUACGGCCGCAAGGUUAAAACUCAAAUGAAUUGACGGGGGCCCGCACAAGCGGUGGAGCAUGUGGUUUAAUUCGAUGCAACGCGAAGAACCUUACCUGGUCUUGACAUCCACAGAACUUUCCAGAGAUGGACUGGUGCCUUCGGGAACUGUGAGACAGGUGCUGCAUGGCUGUCGUCAGCUCGUGUUGUGAAAUGUUGGGUUAAGUCCCGCAACGAGCGCAACCCUUAUCCUUUGUUGCCAGCG
rnacentral:rRNA from 3 species